UGGUUCUGGCAUCGAUGAAGAACGCAGCGAAAUGCGAUAAGUAAUGUGAAUUGCAGAAUUCAGUGAAUCAUCGAAUCUUUGAACGCACAUUGCGCCCCUUGGUAUUCCGGGGGGCAUGCCUGUUCGAGCGUCAUUUCAACCCUCAAGCUCAGCUUGGUCUUGGGCCCUGCCGGCAACGGCUGGCCUUAAAAUCAGUGGCGGUGCUAUUGAGCUCUACGCGUAGUAAUUACACCCUCGCGAUGGAGGCUUGGUAGGCAGUAGCCAACAACCCCAACUUUCUCUUGGUUGACCUCGGAUCAGGUAGGGAUACCCGCUGA
rnacentral:misc_RNA from 1 species